rnacentral:rRNA from 1 species
AGUGAACGCUGGCGGUAGGCCUAACACAUGCAAGUCGAACGGCAGCACAGUAAGAGCUUGCUCUUACGGGUGGCGAGUGGCGGACGGGUGAGGAAUACAUCGGAAUCUAUUUUUUCGUGGGGGAUAACGUAGGGAAACUUACGCUAAUACCGCAUACGACCUACGGGUGAAAGCAGGGGAUCUUCGGACCUUGCGCGAUUGAAUGAGCCGAUGUCGGAUUAGCUAGUUGGCGGGGUAAAGGCCCACCAAGGCGACGAUCCGUAGCUGGUCUGAGAGGAUGAUCAGCCACACUGGAACUGAGACACGGUCCAGACUCCUACGGGAGGCAGCAGUGGGGAAUAUUAGACAAUGGGCGCAAGCCUGAUCCAGCCAUACCGCGUGGGUGAAGAAGGCCUUCGGGUUGUAAAGCCCUUUUGUUGGGAAAGAAAAGCAGCAGGUUAAUACCCCGCUGUUCUGACGGUACCCAAAGAAUAAGCACCGGCUAACUUCGUG